GAGUCGGACCUGCCCGGUGAAAGAUUUUAACGGCCGCGGUAUCCUGACCGUGCGAAGGUAGCAUAAUAAUUUGCUCUAUAAUUGAGGGCUGGUAUGAAUGGUUUGACGUAAGCGAUACUGUCUCUAUAUUGAUUUUUUAGAAUUUGAUUUUUAGGUGAAGAAACCUAAAUGUUAUUAAAAGACAAGAAGACCCUAUUGAGCUUUAAAGAAUUUAGUAGAAUUUAGCUGAUUUAUUUAUAAGUUUUAUCUACUAUAUAUUUUGGUUGGGGCGACUAAGGAACAAAUAAAGCUUCUUGUAGGCUAAAAUUUUACGGAUAUUGAUCCAAAUUUUUUGAUUAAAGAAAUUAGUUACCAUAGGGAUAACAGCAUAAUUCUUUUUAAGAGUUCAUAUCGAAAAGAGAGUUUGUGACCUCGAUGUUGGACUAGAAUAUCCUAAAGAUGUAGCAGUCUUUAAAGGUUGGUC
rnacentral:rRNA from 1 species